rnacentral:rRNA from 1 species
CCUACGGGUGGCAGCAGUGAGGAAUAUUGGUCAAUGGGCGAGAGCCUGAACCAGCCAAGUCGCGUGAGGGAGUACUGCCCUAUGGGUUGUAAACCUCUUUUGUCGGGGAGCAAAAGCCGGACGUGUCCGGCUGUGAGAGUACCCGAAGAAAAAGCAUCGGCUAACUCCGUGCCAGCAGCCGCGGUAAUACGGAGGAUGCGAGCGUUAUCCGGAUUUAUUGGGUUUAAAGGGUGCGCAGGGGGAUUUUUAAGUCAGCGGUAAAAUCGUGGGGCCAAAACCCAUCCAGCCGUUGACACUGGGGAUCUAGAGUGUGCGAGAGGUAUGCGGAAUGCGUGGUGUAGCGGUGAAAUGCAUAGAUAUCACGCAGAACCCCGAUUGCGAAGGCAGCAUACCGGUGCACAACUGACGCUCAGGCACGAAAGCGUGGGUAUCGAACAGGAUUAGAUACCCGAGUAGUC